rnacentral:lncRNA from 1 species
AACACAUAUUAUCUUAGUAAUAAAAUAUGUAUUAUCUAUAUAUAAAAGCGUAUAGAAAUUACGAUAGACGAAAUCUAAAAAGAAAUAAAAUAAUAUUCCCUACGAAUGGUUAUAAUUAAUUUGUUAAAAAUAUUUCAAAUAAAAACGAACAGUUAUGAUCAAUCUAUUAAAAUCUCAUCCAAAAGAGAAUGAAAUAAUAUUCCAUACGAAUGGUUAUGAUUAAUUUAUUAAAAAUAUCUCAAAAUAAAAACGAACGGUUAUAAUCAAUCUAUUAAAUCUCUACUAUAUAUAAAAAUCUAUUCCGUAUAAAUGGUUAUAAUCAAUUUGUUAAAAAAAUAUCUCAAAUAAAAACAGUUAUGAUUAAUCUAUUAAAAAAUAGCAUUCCUAUCCAUCUAUAAAUUCAAUCUUACGAACGAUUAUAAUCAAUUUGUUAAAAAAUAUCUCAAAUAAAAACAAACGAUUAUGAUCAAUUUGUUAAAAAAUAACAUUCCUAUUCAUCUAUUUUAUAUUAAAAUUAAAAUUUGAGUUUAAAUUAUUAAUUAAAUUUAAUUUUUGAU